rnacentral:rRNA from 1 species
AGGGCGUACGGUGGAUGCCUAGGCACUUGAAACUGAAGAAGGACGCAACAAACGGCGAAACGCGGCGGGGAGCUGUACGUAAGCAAAGAUCCGCCGGUAUCCGAAUGGGGGAACCCGGCAUGCGUAAUAGCAUGUCAUCCGCAGAUGAACAAAUAGUCUGCGAGAGAGGUACCCGGGGAACUGAAACAUCUAAGUACCCGGAGGAAAAGAAAACAACAGUGAUUCCCUGAGUAGCGGCGAGCGAAAGGGGAGGAGCCCAAACCAGACCGAGGUCUGGGGUUGAAGGACCGCGAUACGGCAAGAAUCAUGGUAGGAGAACGGCAUUGAAAGGCCGACCGGAGAGGGUGCAAGUCCCGUAUCCGAAACCGUGAGGAAGCCCAGCGGGAUCCUGAGUACGGCGAGACACGAGAAAUCUUGUCGGAAGCAGGCGGGACCAUCCGUCAAGGCUAAAUAUAAGCAAGUGACCGAUAGUGAACCAGUACCGUGAGGGAAAGGUGAAAAGAACCGCGGGAGCGGAGUGAAACAGAACCUGAAACCGUAUGCUUACAAGAAGUCAGAGCACGUUAAGGUGUGAUGGCGUGCCUUUUGUAGAAUGAACCGGCGAGUUAUGUUAUCGUGCGAGGUUAAGCAGGAGAUGCGGAGCCGAAGCGAAAGCGAGUCUUAAGAGGGCGGCAGUACGAUGACAUAGACCCGAAACCGUGUGAUCUAGCCAUGACCAGGUUGAAGUUCAGGUGAAACUGAAUGGAGGACCGAACCGACCCCCGUUGAAAAGUUGGCGGAUGAGUUGUGGCUAGGGGAGAAAUUCCAAUCGAACACGGAUAUAGCUGGUUCUCCCCGAAAUAGCUUUAGGGCUAGCGUCGAGGAUGAGUCUUGUGGAGGUAGAGCACUGAAUGUACGAUGGCCCCAUCCCGGGGUACUGAGUAUAAUCAAACUCCGAAUGCCAUGAGAUAUUCCCGGCAGUCAGACCGUGGGUGAUAAGGUCCAUGGUCAAAAGGGAAACAGCCCAGACCGCCAGUUAAGGUCCCAAAAUGUAUGCUAAGUGGAAAAGGAUGUGGGGAUGCACAGACAACUAGGAGGUUGGCUCAGAAGCAGCCAUCCUUCAAAGAGUGCGUAACAGCUCACUAGUCGAGUGACCCUGCGCCGAAAAUGUACCGGGGCUAAGCAUACUACCGAAGCUGCGGAUUUGUAGUAAUACAAGUGGUAGGGGAGCGUUCCAUGCACGUGGAAGCCAUACCGAAAGGAGUGGUGGAGAGCAUGGAAGUGAGAAUGCCGGUGUGAGUAGCGAGAUGCAGGUGAGAAUCCUGCACACCGAUAGCCCAAGGAUUCCAGGGGAAGGUUCGUCCGCCCUGGGUAAGUCGGGACCUAAGGCGAGGCCGAAAGGCGUAGUCGAUGGAAAACAGGCAGAUAUUCCUGUACCCGCGAUGGAAAUGAAGGAAUGACGGAGAAGGCUAGCAUGAGCCACUUAUUGGAUUGUGGUCGAAGCGAAUAGCAGGUGCAUAGUCAAAUGCGUGCACGGGAUGUAAAACGUGACAGGUAAGCGAAACCUUUGGGGAGUAGCGAAGCAUGCGAGGCCAGCUUCCAGGAAAAGUUUCUAGUGCUGAUUCCAUAGCGGCCCGUACCAAAACCGACACAGGUGGGCAAGGAGAGUAUCCUGAGGUGAGCGAGAGAACUGUUGCCAAGGAACUCGGCAAAAUGACUCCGUAAGUUAGCGAGAAGGAGUGCUUAUGAAAGUAAGCCGCAGUGAAGAGGCCCAAGCGACUGUUUAACUAAAACACAGCUCUCUGCGAAGUCGCAAGACGAAGUAUAGGGGGUGACGCCUGCCCGGUGCUGGAAGGUUAAGAGGAUUUGUCAGUUUCGACGAAGCAAUGAAUUGAAGCCCCAGUGAACGGCGGCCGUAACUAUAACGGUCCUAAGGUAGCGAAAUUCCUUGUCAGGUAAGUUCUGACCCGCACGAAAGGCGUAACGAUUUGGGCGCUGUCUCGGCAGCAGACUCGGUGAAAUCUUAGUACCUGUGAAAAUGCAGGUUACCCGCAACUAGACGGAAAGACCCCAUGGAGCUUUACUGCAGCCUGAUAUUGGAUUUUGAUCAGAGAUGUACAGGAUAGGUGGGAGACGAAGAAGGAUGCACGCCAGUGUAUCUGGAGUCGACGUUGGGAUACCACUCUUGUCUGAUUGGAGUUCUAACCUGCGUCCAUGAAGCUGGACGGGGGACCGUGUCAGGCAGGCAGUUUGACUGGGGCGGUCGCCUCCCAAAGAGUAACGGAGGCGCCCAAAGGUACGCUCAGAUUGGACGGAAAUCAAUCGGCGAGUGCAAAUGCAGAAGCGUGCUUGACUGUGAGACAAACAGGUCGAACAGGGACGAAAGUCGGGAUUAGUGAUCCGGCGGUGCCGAAUGGAAGGGCCGUCGCUCAACGGAUAAAAGCUACCCUGGGGAUAACAGGCUGAUCUCGCCCAAGAGUUCACAUCGACGGCGAGGUUUGGCACCUCGAUGUCGGCUCAUCGCAUCCUGGAGCUGAAUUCGGUUCCAAGGGUUGGGCUGUCCGCCCAUUAAAGCGGUACGCGAGCUGGGUUCAGAACGUCGUGAGACAGUUCGGUCCCUAUCUGUUGUGGGCGUAGGAGAUUUGAGGAGAGCUGUCCUUAGUACGAGAGGACCGGGAUGGACCUACCGCUGGUGCACCGGUUGUUGUGCCAACAGCAUAGCCGGGUAGCUAAGUAGGGAAGGGAUAAGCGCUGAAAGCAUCUAAGCGCGAAGCCUACUCCAAGAUGAGAUCUCCCAUACGCAAGUAGUAAGACCCCUUGA